rnacentral:rRNA from 1 species
UUUCCUUGUCUUUUUCCGCCUAUAUACCGCCGUCGUCAGCUUACUCUAUGAAGAACCUGCAGUAGGCACAAUCGGUACAGCCCAAAACGCCAGGUCGAGGUGUAGCGUAUGGAAAGGGAAGAAAUGGGCUACAUUCAAUGUUUUAUUGAAUACGGAUGACACCCUGAAAAAAUGUCUGAAGGAGGAUUUAGCAGUAAGCAGGGAAUAGAGAGCCCUGCUGAAACUGGCCCUGAAGCGCGCACACACCGCCCGUCACUCUCCCCGAGCUAAUAAACUUUUAUUAACUAAAAAACAAAACCUGUAAAGGGGAGGCAAGUCGUAACAUGGUAAGUGUACCGGAAGGUGCACUUGGAUAAAC